rnacentral:rRNA from 1 species
UACGUAGGGGGCUAGCGUUGUCCGGAAUCAUUGGGCGUAAAGCGCGCGUAGGCGGCCAGAUAAGUCCGGUGUGAAAGUCACAGGCUCAACCUGUGAAUGCCGCUGGAAACUGUCUGGCUAGAGUCCGGAAGGGGCGAGUGGAAUUCCUGGUGUAGCGGUGAAAUGCGCAGAUAUCAGGAGGAACACCAAUGGCGAAGGCAGAUCUCUGGGCCGUACCUGACGCUGAGAGCGAAAGCUGGGAGCGAACAGG